ensembl:snRNA U6 U6 spliceosomal RNA
GUGCUUGCCUCGGCAGCGCAUACACUGAUAUUGGAACCACAGGAGUAGACUGGCAUGGCCCCUGCACAAGGAUGACAGGCAAACUCAUGAAGCGUUCCAUAUUUUU